UACGGAGGGUGCAAGCGUUAUCCGGAUUCACUGGGUUUAAAGGGUGCGUAGGCGGCUGAUUAAGUCAGCGGUGAAAUUCCACAGCUCAACUGUGGAACUGCCAUUGAUACUGGUUAGCUUGAGUACAGAUGAGGUAGGCGGAAUUGACAGUGUAGCGGUGAAAUGCUUAGAUAUUGUCAAGAACACCUAUUGCGAAGGCAGCUUACUAAGCUGUAACUGACGCUGAGGCACGAAAGCGUGGGGAUCAAACAGG
rnacentral:rRNA from 1 species